GCAAACUUGGUCAUUUAGAGGAAGUACAAGUCGUAACAAGGUUUCCGUAGGUGAACCUGCGGAAGGAUCAUUAACAAAUCGUGUGUAUAUGUGUGUGCGAGUUUUAGUUCGUACAUAUGUAUAUAUAAGUGCGCCGGUACGCAUGUGCUGGAAUGCAAAAAUAUUCAUUCAUUAUAUAGUGUGUAUAUUGUCGUGAUACUAAAUACGAAACAUACUUUUAACAAUGGAUCUCUUGGCUCUUGCAUCGAUGAAGAACGCAGC
rnacentral:misc_RNA from 1 species